CAAGUCGAACGAGAAAGUGGAGCAAUCCAUGAGUAAAGUGGCGCACGGGUGAGUAACACGUGACUAACCUACCCAGGAGUGGGGGAUAACUGAGGGAAACCUUAGCUAAUACCGCAUAACACCUACGGGUCAAAGGAGCAAUUCGCUUCUGGAGGGGGUCGCGGCCGAUUAGCUAGUUGGCAGGGUAAUGGCCUACCAAGACGAUGAUCGGUAUCCGGCCUGAGAGGGCGCACGGACACACUGGAACUGAAACACGGUCCAGACUCCUACGGGAGGCAGCAGUGGGGAAUUUUGCGCAAUGGGGGAAACCCUGACGCAGCAACGCCGCGUGGAGGAUGAAGUCCUUCGGGACGUAAACUCCUUUCGAUCGGGACGAUUAUGACGGUACCGGAAGAAGAAGCCCCGGCUAACUUCGUGCCAGCAGCCGCGGUAAUACGAGGGGGGCAAGCGUUGUUCGGAAUUAUUGGGCGUAAAGGGUGCGUAGGCGGUUUGGUAA
rnacentral:rRNA from 1 species